UUUCAAUUAGACUUAAUAUUCCUUGGACUAGGUUCAACUAACGUCUAAAUAUUCAAUGUCGAUUUCAAAAGCAACCAACCAUGAUCUUACUUGCUGUAAAAAGCAAUCAAACCAACAACAGUUCAUAUCUUUUCAGCUUGGAGCAAUCUUCACACGCACAAUCAUGAAAAUAUCUUCCAGAUAUCAAUUCUAACCCAACCUCCUCUCUUUUUCCCUGUAUUAACUCUGAUUUAUUGUCUGCUAAUACUUUUUUGUAGAGGGUGCUUGGAGAUGGUCUUUUGGUUGGCUACUGGACCCAACAACCGGCCUAAACUAGCAUGUGCUAUUGCUGAAUGUGGGGAAAUGUAGAAAUUGAAUUCAAGAGCAGAGCUUUCCAGGAUUUAUUGCAA
rnacentral:misc_RNA from 1 species